UUCCACAAUGGACGAAAGUCUGAUGGAGCAACGCCGCGUGAGUGAAGAAGGGUUUCGGCUCGUAAAGCUCUGUUGGUAGUGAAGAAAGAUAGAGGUAGUAACUGGCCUUUAUUUGACGGUAAUUACUUAGAAAGUCACGGCUAACUACGUGCC
rnacentral:rRNA from 1 species